rnacentral:pre_miRNA from 1 species
AGAGGAAUAGCUGGGUCAAAUGGUGGUUCCACACCCAGUUUUCCAAGGAAUCUACAUACUGCUUUUCAAACUGGCUGCACAAACUGUUGCAGUCCCACCAGCAAU